rnacentral:lncRNA from 1 species
UUCAAAUAAAAAUUAACACACAAAUCUCUAAAUCUCCUAUAUCUUAAAUUUUUAUAUCCUUUAUAUCUUAAAUCCCUAAAUCCCCUCAAAUCACACCAGUUGAGGAAUUGAAGUUGAGGAUUUGAGAGACGACUUCAAGAUCGGAUUUUCAGGCCAUCUCCGCCGUUCCAGCAUCCAUCUCCAUUCUCCUGACGAAUUGUAUGCUAUUCUUUCGGCCCUUUCCUAAAUGUUGAGUUUCUUGUACAUGUUCAUAGGGCUUUUCAUAUUUUAUUUUUAAAAUAGUAAAAAAAAUUCACCUUCUGCGUUUUGCCCCCUAUUAGAGAUUCCUGGAUACGCCACUGAUCCUUCUAGAGAGAGCAUCGUUCCGUUUUUUCUUGUUUUUUUCAAUAGGAAGCGUUAGAUGGUAUCUUUCCAUCUGAGAAACUAAUUAAUUAUAUCAUAAUAAAAAUACGUAUACA